CUCCCGGCCCGAACGUGCCCUCUGCAGAUACCCGCGGGGUCAGGCCCUGCCACAGCCCGGCGCUCCAGCGCUAAUCGCGUCCUGCACCAGAUAUAUUUCCACACAAGCACCCUGAACAAAUCAGAAACAUUCACUGGAAAUGUGCAUCAGAAGAUAUACAGACAUCUGCAGACAUGCAACUGCCACAAGACAGCCAGUAAAAUCCCUGCUCUUUAAAAUCUCUUACAUCUCUCACCUUUGCUUUUGGCUGCUGCAGUGAUUUCAGAUACCUCAUUCCACAAAGGAGCUUAUUGGAUUGAUUUUUACUCUCUUCAGUGGGAGCAAUACCUUGUGUUCUG